UGGGGAAUCUUAGACAAUGGGGGAAACCCUGAUCUAGCCAUGCCGCGUGAGCGAUGAAGGCCUUAGGGUUGUAAAGCUCUUUCAGCUGGGAAGAUAAUGACGGUACCAGCAGAAGAAGCCCCGGCUAACUCCGUGCCAGCAGCCGCGGUAAUACGGAGGGGGCUAGCGUUGUUCGGAAUUACUGGGCGUAAAGCGCACGUAGGCGGAUUAGUCAGUCAGAGGUGAAAUCCCAGGGCUCAACCCUGGAACUGCCUUUGAUACUGCUAGUCUUGAGGUCGAGAGAGGUGAGUGGAAUUCCGAGUGUAGAGGUGAAAUUCGUAGAUAUUCGGAGGAACACCAGUGGCGAAGGCGGCUCACUGGCUCGAUACUG
rnacentral:rRNA from 1 species